AUGGGGACCUGUAUGAAUGGCAUAACGAGGGUUUAACUGUCUCCUUUUCCAAGUUAAUGAAAUUGAUCUCCCCGUGCAGAAGCGGGGAUACAAACAUAAGACGAGAAGACCCUAUGGAGCUUUAGGCAGCAAACAGAUCGUACUAAAUAUCCCCUAAUAAAGGAACGAAGCAUACGAAACCUGGCCCAAUGCC
rnacentral:rRNA from 1 species